rnacentral:misc_RNA from 1 species
AAUUCUCAACCCCCUCUCGAUUGGCUUCGAGCCGGGGCUUGGAUCCUGGGGGCUGCCGGAGAACCUGUUUUUCAGGACUCGGGCUCCUCUGAAAUGCAUCGGCUUGCGGCCGACUUUCGACUUUGCGCGACAAGGCUUUCGGCGUGAUAAUGAUCGCCGUUCGCCGAAGCGCAUGAAUGAACCCCGUCCCGCGCCUCUAAUCCGUCGACGACCUUCGGGCCGUCUUCCUUAUAGAC